UUUGCUAAAAAAACACAGAUCCGUAAAUAUAGUAAAUUAGUUUUCUUUCCCAUUGGAAAGUUUUGCAACUUUAUUACCAAAAAUUCAACACAAGCAUAGAUGUAGGGGCCAUUCCUUUUAUAAGUGGAAAAGUGGAAUGCAACAUAGUCAAACAGUGACAGCUUCAUACCAUUCAAAUUCAUUCUUAGUCUUUUCAUAGAUACAUACUCUUCAACAACUUCUCAGCCACACUCAUUCUUCAUUCAAUUUCUUCAAUCUUCCUUACACCUAAAUAACAAUUCAACCACUUUUCUUACUAGUUAGCACUAGUAUUUGGGUAUUAUACACCAAAUGUCUCUAUAGAAUUUUAGUAGUAAAAGGAACAAAAUCAAUGCUACCACAGUAUUCUUGUUAGGUGCUGUUUUUGUUGUUCAAUCUUAUCAAUACCUGUUUCUGUUUUCUCUGCUUCUCUGUUCAAUUUUAAUGCAACCCUUUCUUAACUUUCUUUGUCUACCUAAGUAAAAAACCUUUAACCCAUUCUUUUCACUUUUGCUCAGAUUCGUUUUUCUAUAAAUUCUGUUCAGAGAAUUAAUAACCCCGUCUGAGGUUUUUUGGGAACCACAUCAUCAUCGUUACUUGGGGAAUAUUGUAAGAGAAGUGGACAAAUACCAGCUUUUGGAAACUGGGAUAUCGCAAACGAGUUACCAAUAACUCAAUAUUUUGAGAAUGCCAGACAAGCUGGUUUGAUUCGUUACAGUUCUUCAUCGGGUGAAACUGAUCCAUACUUGCGUGGAGAUGAACACGACCUCUACGCUCUUGAUUUAAAGAAACCAGUUCAAAAGGAGACGAGGAACAGAGAAACAGCAAUGAGAAAACAGGGGAAAGUGUACAAUGUAACGGAAUAUCCAAGGAAGGCAGUGAACAAAAAGAAGAAGACAUUACAUGUAAACGACGUCGUUUGUAAGGCUCCUUUACCAACCAGACUUCCAAAACCAGUUGAUGAAGAUCUCUACAAAAUCUCUCCAGAACUCCUUCGCACAACCAAACGAAAGAAAAUGUUUGGUUUCAUUUCCAUGUGUCUGCUGCCUACUGCAUGUGUUUCAUGACCAAUCAAUUACGUUGCCGACAAGCAUCAACGAAGAUUUUUAUUUUUAGGUUUUUUUUGUUAGUUAUGCUGCUGGCUAUGCAAUGCUUGUUUUCUUGUGCAUUCAAAGCUGGAUGACUUUUUAUUUGAAUGAAUUAAUGUACAAGUCAUUGCUAUCUUAAAUUUAAUUGGAUGUCAUGAGCUUGAUUGUAUUCUUUAUUUAAAGGAAUGGAGUUAUUUGAACACUCAAAUACUUUAA